CAGGGUGACACUGCCGGGGACACAGGUGACACGGAGGUGACACAGGGUGACACUGCCGGGGACACAGGUGACACACAGGUGACACACAGGUGGCACACAGGUGACACAGGGUGACACAGGUGACACUCAGGUGACACACAGGUGAC